ACGGGGAGCACCACAACAGGUGGAGCCUGCGGUUUAAUCGGACUCAACGCCGGGAAACUCACCAGAUAAGACAGCUGAAUGAUAGUCGGGCUGAAGACUCUACUUGACUAGCUGAGGGGAGGUGCAUGGCCGUCGUCAGUUCGUACUGUGAAGCAUCCUGUUAAGUCAGGCAACGAGCGAGACCCACGCCAACAGUUGCCAGCUCGUCCUCCGGGAUGGUGGGGACACUGUUGGGACCGCCUCUGCUAAAGAGGAGGAAGGAAUGGGCAACGGUAGGUCAGCAUGCCCCGAAUUAUCUGGGCUACACGCGGGCUACAAUGGGUGGGACAAUGGGUAUCGACACCGAAAGGUGAAGGCAAUCUCCUAAACCCAUCCGUAGUUCGGAUUGUGGGCUGCAACUCGCCCACAUGAAGCUGGAAUCUGUAGUAAUCGUGUCUCAAAAUGGCACGGUGAAUAUGUCCCUGCUCCUU
rnacentral:rRNA from 1 species